rnacentral:piRNA from 3 species
UAGGACUGUGACAUUUAUUUUCCAAAGU